rnacentral:tRNA from 1 species
GCCGAGGUGGCGGAAUUGGCAGACGCACUAGCUUCAGGGGUUAGCGGGCGCAAGCCCAUGCGGGUUCAACUCCCGCCCUCGGCACCA